rnacentral:rRNA from 1 species
AUUGAACGCUGGCGGCAGGCUUAACACAUGCAAGUCGAGCGGAGAUGAGGUGCUUGCACCUUAUCUUAGCGGCGGACGGGUGAGUAAUGCUUAGGAAUCUGCCUAUUAGUGGGGGACAACAUUCCGAAAGGAAUGCUAAUACCGCAUACGUCCUACGGGAGAAAGCAGGGGAUCUUCGGACCUUGCGCUAAUAGAUGAGCCUAAGUCGGAUUAGCUAGUUGGUGGGGUAAAGGCCUACCAAGGCGACGAUCUGUAGGGGGGCUGAAAGGAUGGACCGCCACACUGGGGCUGAGACACGCCCCAGACGCCUACGGGGGGCAGCAGUGGGGAAUAUUGGACAAUGGGGGGGGCCCGGAUCCAGCCAUGGCGGGUGUGUGAAGAAGGCCUUAUGGUUGUAAAGCACUUUAAGCGAGGAGGAGGCUACUGAGACUAAUACUCUUGGAUAGUGGACGUUGCUCGCAGAAUAAGCACCGGCUAACUCUGUGCCAGCCGCCGCCGUAACAC